UAAAUUUUUCUCGAUUUGCCAAAAAUUUUUUGGCCACGCCCACUCUAACGCCCACAAACCGCCAAAAACUGUCAGUGUGAAAAUUUCUCCUUUGCUCUUCCACCAGCUCAGAUAGUCGGGGAAUUCGACUAUUGCGAUCUCUAUUGUUGUAUAUAGGUCAGUUGUAGCCCAAAAGUUUUGCAACACCAAAUGCAGUUGUCCAAAUCAGCAGUCUAAAGGAAUGAAACCAAAGCUGCUGAGGCGUUGAGUCAGCGGUCCCACGUCAUCUGCACAGCGGGCUUGCGACGGAUGCAAAAGUACAUGGCUUAUCAAAUCACUACACUUAUUCGAGAAUACUCUGAAGCUGCAAAGGAUAUCUCAGAUAGUCGGGGAAUUCGACUAUUGCGAUCUCUAUUGUUGUAUAUAGGUCAGUUGUAGCCCAAAAGUUUUGCAACACCAAAUGCACUUGUCCAAAUCAGCAGUCUAAAGGAAUGAAACCAAAGCUGCUGAGGCGUUGAGUCAGCGGUCCCACGUCAUCUGCACAGCGGGCUUGCGACGGAUGCAAAAGUACAUGGCUUAUCAAAUCACUACACUUAUUCGAGAAUACUCUGAAGCUGCAAAGGAUAUAUAGUCGGGGAAUUCGACUAUUGCGAUCUCUAUUGUUGUAUAUAGGUCAGUUGUAGCCCAAAAGUUUUGCAACACCAAAUGCAGUUAUCCAAAUCAGCAGUCUAAAGGAAUGAAACCAAAGCUGCUGAGGCGUUGAGUCAGCGGUCCCACGUCAUCUGCACAGCGGGCUUGCGACGGAUGCAAAAAUACAUGGCUUAUCAAAUCACUACACUUAUUCGGGAAUACUCUGAAGCUGCAAAGGACAUAAAAUAAAUAAAUCAUAUAACCACGAAAACAGAAUUUAUUUAAAAUCAUUUAAACCUUCUAUUUCAUCAGCUAGUAAUUUAAAAAAAAAUAGAUAAAUGCAAAUGUAUGGUUUCGGUACAACUAUUUCUGAAUAAAUCAUUUAAAAUGUUUUCAAAAUCACUAUGAUAAUGUCAACAGCGCA